rnacentral:rRNA from 1 species
AUUGAACGCUGGCGGCAUGCCUUACACAUGCAAGUCGAACGGCAGCACGGGAGCAAUCCUGGUGGCGAGUGGCGAACGGGUGAGUAAAGUAUCGGAACGUGCCCAGUCGUGGGAGAUAACGUAGCGAAAGUUACGCUAACACCGCAUACGAUCUAUGGAUGAAAGCGGGGGAUCGCAAGACCUCGCGCGAUUGGAGCGGCCGAUAUCAGAUUAGGUAGUUGGUGGGGUAAAGGCUCACCAAGCCGACGAUCUGUAGCUGGUCUGAGAGGACGAACAGCCACACUGGGACUGGGACACGGCCCAGACUCCUACGGGAGGCAGCAGUGGGGAAUUUUGGACAAUGGGCGAAAGCCUGAUCCAGCCAUGCCGCGUGCAGGAUGAAGGCCUUCGGGUUGUAAACUGCUUUUGUACGGAACGAAAAGGUUUGGGCUAAUAAGCUGAGCUCAUGACGGUACCGUAAGAAUAAGCACCGGCUAACUACGUGCCAGCCGCCGCAGUAA